rnacentral:rRNA from 1 species
CCUACGGGGGGCAGCAGUGGGGAAUCUUCCGCAAUGGGCGAAAGCCUGACGGAGCAACGCCGCGUGAGUGAAGAAGGUCUUCGGAUCGUAAAGCUCUGUUGUCGGGGACGAAAGAGUAGACGAGGAAAUGCGUCUACUAAGACGGUACCUGACGAGGAAGCCACGGCUAACUACGUGCCAGCAGCCGCGGUAAUACGUAGGCGGCAAGCGUUGUCCGGAAUUAUUGGGCGUAAAGGGAGCGCAGGUGGGACGGUAAGUCCGUCUUAAAAGGCAGGGGCUCAGCCCCUGUAAGGGAUGGAAACUAUCGAUCUUGAGUGCCGGAGAGGAAAGCGGAAUUCCCAGUGUAGCGGUGAAAUGCGUAGAUAUUGGGAAGAACACCAGUGGCGAAGGCGGCUUUCUGGACGGCAACUGACACUGAGGCUCGAAAGCCAGGGGAGCGAACGGGAUUAGAUACCCGGGUAGUC